rnacentral:rRNA from 1 species
AGAGUUGCAGAAGGUGAUGGCAUCGAAUAGAUUCGCUGAAGUUGGGCUGAAUGUGGCACGGAACGCAGCCGAGAAGCCGAAGGUCGUAGUCUAUGACGUUGACACAGCCAUCGGCCCAGAAGAGUUCAUGCAGGAGCUUCACGAAAACAACUUCGAUAGCGAAAUGACUCUGGCCCAGUUUAAAAAGUCGGUGCACCUGGUGACCAAGGCGUGGUCGGCAACUGCUUUUUUUUUUUUUUUACUUUACUUUUAUUUAUUGAAUCUUCUUGUAUAAGAACUAACAAUAAGUUUAAAAAUCUUAACUAUAACAAGUAUUUUUUGAACAGUUGUUUUAUUUUUCCAACUGUUCUAAGAUUAAACGGCCCUAAUAAUUUAUUCGCUGGGUUGGUAGGUCCUUUCGCCGGAGACGGGAACGGCUGCUGAGCUGGAUUAGACCUCGCGCUAGGUGGUUGGGGUGCGUGUAAAGCUUGCUAUGCUAUUUUUCCUUAAGUUCCGUGAUUGCGUUGGUAACUGAUGGGAUAUUUAAGUCUCUUUGGAUGUUUUCACUCCGAUCGUACCAAUGUGAACCAGUGAUGGUUCUCAGAAUCUUUGAUGAUGUCAAUAUUGCUGUUGCUGGCAUUGCCCCAUAACUGUGAGCCAUAGGUCCAGAUUGGUUUCAAUAUAGAAUUGUAGAGCAAGAACUUGUGGUCUAGGCUGAGCGGAGAACCAGAGUUGAUGAGCCAGUGUAAGUUGUUGGCUUUGAGUUUAAGUUGGGUUUUUUUUGGCUUAAAUGUGCCUGCGUGAGUCUUCUGUCAAGGUGUACUCCUAGGUACGCUACCUCAUCUGCUUUCGGGAGUGGUAUGUUGUUCAACAAGAGCGGAGGACAGUCUUGUCUGUCUGUUUAGCGUAAACGUCACGUGCUUGCAUUUUUGCUCGUUUACUUUUAUUCGCCAGUCAGAGAGCCACUUCUCAAUGUCGAUGAGGUACAGUGCCAACUGUGCUGUAGCUUGGAUAGGGGACCUUGAACGGCUAAGGAUAGCUGUAUCGUCGGCAAAUGUGGAUACCGUUAAGCGACUAUUUGUAGGGAUGUGGGCUGUAUAGAUGAGUUAUAAGGUUGGCCCAAGAACGCUGCCUUGGGGGACUCCAGCCUCAAUUGUAUGAUGAGUGGAAGUGGCAGUGUUGCACCGCACUGCAAACUUUCUGUCAUAGAGGUAAGACUUUAGAAGUUUGUGUGUGCUUUCGGGUAGGGAUGUUUUAAUAUUAAACAUUAGGCCGUCGAGCCAGACUCUGUCGAAUGCUUGGGAUACGUCUAAAAAUACUGCUGUACAGUAUUCGCGAUAUUCAAAUGCAGUUCUUAUUUCCGUUGUAAUACGAUUCACCUGUUCAAUGGUUCCAUGGCUUUCGCGAAAUCCAAAUUGGUGGGCUGGGAUUAUAUUGUGGUAUAUCAGAUGUUGAUUAACUCGGAUCAGCAGGCAUUUUUCGAAUAGUUUCGAAAUGCAUGAGAGAAGACUUAUUGGUCUGUAAGAUGAAGCGACUGUGUGGUUCUUACCAGGCUUUGGAAUCAUUAUGAUAAUCGACCUCUUCCAUCGUUGUGGAAAGUAACCAAGUUUGGUGAUGGCAUUAAAGAGCUUGGUUCUGUAGCGAACUGCAGAAUGUGGCAGCUGGGUGAUCAUUUCCGGUGUUAUAAGGUCGCAGCCGGGGGAUUUUUUUGGGCUGAGAUUGUCUUUGAUUAGACGAAACACAAUUGGGGUGUGUUGCUGGUGGCGGUUUACGGGAUAGGACGGUAGCGCGAAUGUGCUAGUAGCCUGGUUUGGCGUGAACACAUUUUGUAGGUGAGCGGCAAAUGUGGUGGCUCUGUCUUCAUCACUACGGGCCUAGCCACCUGAGGAAUUCCUUAUCGGCAAAACGGUUUCAGUUGGUGGGCGAAGAGUUGAGUGGGCUCGCCACAGUGACUUUUGUUUUGUGCCUGUUUGUGUGACUUGCUCUAUGUAUCGGCGCUGAUCGUCGUCCUCUUCUUGUUUCAGAGCGUUGGCCAGUUUCCGUGGGGCUACUUUUAGCUUUUGUUUUGCAGUUGGGGAUCUGGAGGAUUGCCAUUCUCUGCGUAAGCGACGUUUUACGUGGACGAGUUGCUCGAUUUGUACGUUGGUCUUUUUUGAAUUAAUUGUAUUAUUUGUUAUUUUGGGUGUUGCAGUAAGAGCUGCUGCAGUAAGGAUAGAUUGCAAUGCACACGUGCAGCUCUCUAUAUCAGAUUCAGUAUUGAGUUUUGGGCUUAGCUCAAUAUGUGAACUUAUAUAUUUUUUAUACCUGAGCCAGUUUGUUUUGUGAGAAGUCAAUCUGAUUGGUGGUUUCACGUUUUCUGCGUACCGGCGGAGGUGAAUUAGUACAGGCGAGAUGACAGAUCCGGCAGACAUUCAGCUUUAACCAAACUGCGGGAAAUAUUUUUCGUAACUGCGAAGUCGAUCAGGUCCGGCAGCUUAUUGAGGUCUGAUUACUUACUUGAUUAAAUGGAACGUGUAUCAUUUCCUAGCCAUUAUACGGAUAUAUUUAUUAUAUCUUAUGGUAUUGGGUUUUGAUGCAAGCUUCUUGAUCAAAGUAUCACGAGUUUGUUAUAUAAUCGCAAACAAAUUCUUUAAUAAAACGAUGCAUUUAUGUAUUUUUGAUUUGAAAAUUUGGUAUAACUCCAAUUACUCAGGUAUGAUCCAAUUCAAGGACAUUGCCAGGUAGGGAGUUUGACUGGGGCGGUACAUCUCUCAAAUAAUAACGGAGGUGUCCCAAGGCCAGCUCAGUGCGGACAGAAACCACACAUAGAGCAAAAGGGCAAAUGCUGACUUGAUCUCGGUGUUCAGUACACACAGGGACAGCAAAAGCUCGGCCUAUCGAUCCUUUUGGUUUAAAGAGUUUUUAACAAGAGGUGUCAGAAAAGUUACCAUAGGGAUAACUGGCUUGUGGCGGCCAAGCGUUCAUAGCGACGUCGCUUUUUGAUCCUUCGAUGUCGGCUCUUCCUAUCAUUGUGAAGCAAAAUUCACCAAGCGUUGGAUUGUUCACCCAUGCAAGGGAACGUGAGCUGGGUUUAGACCGUCGUGAGACAGGUUAGUUUUACCCUACUAAUGACAAAACGUUGUUGCGACAGCAUUCCUGCGUAGUACGAGAGGAACCGCAGGUACGGACCAAUGGCACAAUACUUGUUCGAGCGAACAGUGGUAUGACGCUACGUCCGUUGGAUUAUGCCUGAACGCCUCUAAGGUCGUAUCCGUGCUGGACUGCAAUGAUAAAUAAGGGGCAAUUUGCAUUGUAUGGCUUCUAAACCAUUUAAAGUUUAUAAUUUACUUUAUAAACGACAAUGGAUGUGAUGCCAAUGUAAUUUGUAACAUAGUAAAUUGGGAGGAUCUUCGAUCACCUGAUGCCGCGCUAGUUACAUAUAAAAGCAUUAUUU